UUGGUUUGACGAAUAAGAAACUGUUUUAUUAACCAAACCUGUAUGUCCAAGAGUUUAUGCACUACAGGUGAACUACAGGUGAAGACACUCAAUCCAGUCCCGUGGGCCACCCGGAUUCAUAUCGCACUGCGGGGGGGACUCUGGAGAGAUCAAUGACACUACAGAUGGUGCGUUAUGGGCCGUUUCCAGGUUCUGACCCAUGGAGGACUGAAGGCAUGUCUACAGAGGAAGUGGACGAAUCUGGAUCUGUCAAUUGUGGGGAAUUUAUGUUUGAUGAGAAUAGCGUUGAGAUGAAGGGGAAUUAGAUUGUAAUUUGUUUCAAUGAUUAAACUGUUUUUUAAUAAAUAUUGUAAAAAGAAAAAAAAAGAAAAAAUCCUGAAAGAGGAGUUAUGAUUCUGAUGUAGGUUUAAAAACAGUUGGAGUUAAGGUUAGAUUUGAUUAAUGAUGGGUGAAGAGUCGGGUAAACAUUUAUAAUAAUAUUUUUAUUUUGUAGAUUUGAAUGUAUAAUAUUUGAUCAAAGGGAGGAUUGAUAGAGGAAAAUAUGGUUGAAAUGACUAAUUAUGUAUACAUUCCAAUCAGAAACUGACUAGUCCAAAUGCUAUAAUGUACUGUACAUGUGAGUUUUCCCUCUUGCUCCCUUUCCCAAUUGUAUAUAAUGUAGUCAGGAGUUAGUAACAAUGUAGGUCUGUUCCUUAGUUCAUUCAGUUGUACAAAUCUCCAGGUGGUGGGAACGGGCCAUCUCCAAAUGGUCGGGAAUGUUGAUUUAUGCUGACUGGCCUUGACUUCGUGCUGAUAACGCGAAGGCUUGAGAGCUAGAGGGGCCCUCUGUUUGUGAAACGGAACGUUUGGAAAACGCUGACGUCAUUUUCAGUUUAUAACCUGUGGAAAUGUGUGUAUGCAUUCAGUACUCUCUGGAAUUAAACACUCUUACCUGG